GACGAACCGUGCGAACGUUAUUCGGAAUCACUGGGCUUAAAGCGCGUGUAGGCGGGCCGCCACGUCGGCUGCUGAAAUCCCCCGGCUCAACCGGGGAACGGGCACCGAUACGAGCGGCCUCGAGGGGGGUAGGGGGGUCUGGAACUUCCGGUGGAGCGGUGAAAUGCGUUGAUAUGACAUAGAACACCAAUUGCGAAGGCAGCUCACUACCCAGAUAUUGACACUGAGGCACGAAAGCGUGGGGAUCAAACAGG
rnacentral:rRNA from 1 species